UACGUAGGGUGCAAGCGUUAUCCGGAAUUAUUGGGCGUAAAGGGCUCGUAGGCGGUCUGUUGCGUCUGCCGUGAAAACCCGAGGCUUAACCUCGGGCCUGCGGUGGAUACGGGCAGACUAGAGGUAUGCAGGGGAGAACGGAAUUCCUGGUGUAGCGGUGAAAUGCGCAGAUAUCAGGAGGAACACCGGUGGCGAAGGCGGUUCUCUGGGCAUUACCUGACGCUGAGGAGCGAAAGUGUGGGGAGCGAACAGG
rnacentral:rRNA from 1 species